GACGAACGCUGGCGGCGUGCCUAAUACAUGCAAGUAGAACGCUGAAGGAGGAGCUUGCUUCUCUGGAUGAGUUGCGAACGGGUGAGUAACGCGUAGGUAACCUGCCUGGUAGCGGAGGAUAACUAUUGGAAACGAUAGCUAAUACCGCAUAAUAGUAGAUGUUGCAUGACAUUUGCUUAAAAGGUGCAAUUGCAUCACUACCAGAUGGACCUGCGUUGUAUUAGCUAGUUGGUGGGGUAACGGCUCACCAAGGCGACGAUACAUAGCCGACCUGAGAGGGUGAUCGGCCACGCUGGGACUGAGACACGGCCCAGACUCCUACGGGAGGCAGCAGUAGGGAAUCUUCGGCAAUGGACGGAAGUCUGACCGAGCAACGCCGCGUGAGUGAAGAAGGUUUUCGGAUCGUAAAGCUCUGUUGUAAGAGAAGAACGGGUGUGAGAGUGGAAAGUUCACACUGUGACGGUAUCUUACCAGAAAGGGACGGCUAACUACGUGC
rnacentral:rRNA from 1 species